ensembl:lincRNA Snhg12 small nucleolar RNA host gene 12
UUUCUCGCUUCAUCCGCGGUCCCUGUCUGUUUUCGUUAUGGCGCCUUGUACUUCUACCCAACGUUGCCCGCCCCCCAUCUUCCCAGCCCACCAGCUCCGUCCGCCUCUCCGGAUGAUUCGUGAGAUACCGAGCCUGCCGGGAAGGGACCGGAUUUUUCCGUCUGGUCCAAGGAAGCACGGGUUAUGGCCACAUGCGCAGUGAUAACUCAGGGCCCCACGCCUUUUGACCCCUGUUGAUGAAGAUUGUGAGGAGGGAGACCAGAAGAUAAUGGACAACGAUACAGCAGAAGGGUCUGGUAAGCUCCGUUUAGUUGCACUACCCGGGGAGACCUGAGGCAUGUUUCCAAGGGCUGUGGCUGCCUGU